rnacentral:lncRNA from 1 species
CAGAAAGGAGAAGGGUAUUAUUUGGGACAUGUGCAGUGUAUUACUAGGUAGCUCUCCUUUCAACAGCUCAAAAUGUCAAGUUAUUGUUCAGUGUGUUCAAAAUGCCAUAUACGGCUUGUGGUUGGUGCAGUGACAUUUUCUGUUGUAUCAACAGAGAAGAACAGUGCGUAGGAGUCAUGGGCCUUAAGGGGUGUGAUCCAAUGGAAUGCAGGUGCACACAUUCAGUAAUGUCACUGAAACUCUAUCCUAAGCACAGAAUGUCAGUCAGUCUAUCCUCUGAAUGCCUCUCUUGAUACCCUGGCUGUGCAAUAGGAAACCCACUUACCAAAGGUCCUCCUCUGUGAUUGGCCAUUGCCAAUUCCUUUUUGCAAUACAAACAGGUGAAGUAAUUCUGCAUUUGUUAAUCUUAACAUGUAUAACCAGAUGUCCCCAUUGGGGCAGAACUUGUUUCAAGCCUUACUCAGCAUGAAAACUAGGGAAGUGAGGUGACUUCAUGUUACAGAAUGAAAACUCUGCACUGAGAGCUAUGAGCCUGGAGUCCUGGUAUGAACCCUUCCCCAGGUUGCUGAGUGACUUUGGGCAUGUCAUUUAAUCUCUGGGAGUCUUGUUUUCUCUACCUGGAAAAUGAGAAUGCUUGGCUCAUCCUGCUCACGAUUGGUUUCAAUUCUGAAGUUCAAUGCUGAAGUAAAGAAGAAGCACCUACAUUCCUCCCCACCCUACAGGGAGACUAAUUUCUAGCAAAAUAAAAAUUGGGAAUUCUAAAAUCUGAUGCAGUUGAUGAGAAAUAAUAGUGGCGAUUUACCUGCCUUUGGGAUUUAAAAGGUUUUAGACAACCCUUAGAAAUGGAAAUUCUGAGAGGAAGUUUGAAGCAACUGGGUUUUUUUGUAUCUGCUCUGUAGCAGAAAUUUUGCAUAGUUUAUCAUAGUUAAGUUUCAAGAGUUCAUAAAAUAAUGAUGGUGUUAUAGAUGAGAGAUCUCAAGCUCAGAAUAGCAUAGCUAAUCAGAGCCAGAGCUUGAACCAUCUAUCCUCAUGUAAUGUUCACUAUAUCAUAGCUAUUGGGAAGGGAAAAAGACAUUUAUGUAUGGAGUAUCUACUCUGUGUUGGGUAUAAUGUUUUCUCAUUUAAACUUUCUGAAUGAUAGGUAAAUUACUUCCCUCAAUAAAUUAGAGGUUGGCUAACUAAUUCUGAGAGACUAAAUCUGGCCUGUGACCUGUUUGGGUAAAUAAAGUUUUAUUGGUACUCAACCAUGACUAUGCAUUUAUACAUUGUCUCUGACAAUUCUACAAGAGCAGAAUUGAAUCAUUGUGACAAGGUAGUAUGACUUGCAAAACCUAAAACUAUGUAUUAGCUGGACUUUGUAGAAAAGUAGCUCCAUUGCCAGGUUACAUAUACACUUUGGAGACAGAAUUCAGGUUUCCCCAGGGGCAGAGUGCACCAGGUUGAUAUUCUGAACUCCAAUUGGAAAACCAACUUAUGAAUGAAUAAAUGCAAUGAAAUAAUA